rnacentral:ncRNA from 2 species
CCAUACACACGCGGGAGCGCACACCGAGUGCGCUGAGAGGACGGGUAGGCCCGUCGACCGUACGAACCUGACCGGGUAAUGCCGGCGUAGGGAGAUGCAUCCAUGACACUG